CCUGCCCCCACCCCAGAAGCAUUGCAGGUGUGGCUGCUGUGUCACAUGUGCUUCAGGAGGAGACAGAGAGGAGAGAGGCUAUGUCUACACUCAGUAUUCUGACUAUGAACAUAUGAAUAAUUAGUAGCCCAACAUU